UUUAAAGAGGAAAGUCCGAACAACAAAGAGCGGCGUGCUUCCUAACCGGAAGGAGAACUUUCGAGUUUUACAGCCAGUGCCACAGAAAAUUACCGCCUUUCGGGGUAAGGGUGAAAAGGUGGGGUAAGAGCCCACCGCUGAUUUGGUGACAAAUCAGGCUUAGGUAAACCUCACGCGUUGCAAGAUCAAAUAGGCUGACUGCUGAAAGGCAAAAGGGUGGCUCGUCCGAUGUCAGUGGGUAGAUUGCUAGAGACAAAUAGUGAUAUUUGUUCAAGAUAAAUGAUAAGAGGGUAGGAUUUCCUACUUACAGAAUUCGGCUUAUCGAUUUAUU
rnacentral:RNase_P_RNA from 1 species